UUUCAUGAAAAACACCCAACAUGCCCGGAUCAGUCUCUGUUUAAUUUGUUUUGUUGAGGACGAGUAGUAGUUAAAGAGAAGCGAAGAGUUGGAGCAAGAAUUCAUGUCUUUUAUAAACGAAAUAGGGUGGAGAUUUUGUCUUCCACAUUAGAGCCGCCAUGAGUAUCUGCUAACUUAUGUAAGACUGAACUGACAAUUAAUGAACCUGACGAUGUUUUGUAAGAUUACAUGUUUUGAUGAAGAACAAUUUAUUCAUAAUCUGAAACAUUUCAAACCCACCCAAUUUGUCAGCUGAAAGAAAUCUAAGCAAUGAAGCACUAAUUAUUCAGCUGAAAUAGCAGACGUACAACCAACCAUUUUUGUUCAUUUUUGUUCAACAAACUUUGAGGGGAAAAAACAUAAAACAGCCUGGAACAACCAAUUAAUCUGCUACAAAUUUCGACUUUUUUCAUGUGUUUUAUGCUCAUUUUGAUCUGAACUCUGACUGAAAACAAAGAUGCAGAAAUGAAGAUAAGACAGAAAAAAGUAAAAAUAGAAAGAAAGGCAUGGCCUUCCCUUUGCCUCAAAUGACUUGCCUUUUAAGCCCCCUUUCAAAUCCUCUACGAGGAGUAGGCAGAAGAGGGAUGGUUAAUAAUGGUUGCAGUGUUCUUCUUCUUCUUCUUCUUCUUCUUCUUCUUCUUCUUCUUUCUCCACAUGUUUUUGGUCUCAAAGUUUGAGCUCAAAACUCAGACAGAAGAAACAAAAACAACUUAUUGCAUUGCAUUGCCUUUGUUUGUGCAACAACCUGUAUCUUUAUAUACACCUUUGAGAAGUGUUUAAACCUGUGUCAGAAGUCCAACAUUUCAGGUUUCUUUGGAUUUUUUUUUAAAAGAAAAAGAAUAAGAAGAAAAAAGACAAAGGAAAGCAG
rnacentral:lncRNA from 1 species